AGCAGCCGCGGUAAUUCCAGCUCCAAUAGCGUAUAUUAAAGUUGUUGCAGUUAAAAAGCUCGUAGUUGAAUUUCGAGAUCGGCUUACUGGUCGUGCUUUUGUACGUACUGGUAAAUCGGUUUCUCCUUUCUGACGAACUUUAAUGCCAUUAAUUUGGUGUUUUAGGGAAUCAGGACUGUUACUUUGAAAAAAUUAGAGUGUUUAAAGCAGGCUCACGCUUGAAUACAUUAGCAUGGAAUAACGGAAUAGGACGUUUGAUUUUAUUUUGUUGGUUUCUA
rnacentral:rRNA from 1 species